rnacentral:misc_RNA from 1 species
AUGUUCCUGCAGGAAGCUGGUGCAUCGGAGUUGAUGUCCUCCACUGUUGGAUCCUAUGGUUACAUCGCACCAGGUUUGUUACGUCUACUAUGUUAUUUAUUAGUUUACUGCAGAUCCUGUGAACAACAAUUCAUACCAUCUUCAUCUUCCGUUGCAUUGGUGCUUGCCAUCUCAGCGUGCAUAUUGAAUUUAAUGGCCUUGUUGAAUGUUGUGUGGAAAAGGGAACAAGAAAAGGACAAUCUUGCAUUUGGGAAAAACUUACUAUACAAAAUGUGUGAGUAGGGUAGGGAUAAAAAAAAAUCUAAUUCAAAAUUAAAUUAUAGAGUUAUUUUAGUAAUAAAUUGAAGUCAAUAGAUCAAGUCAGGAAAAAUUAUACAAUGAAAUCACGAAUGUGAUUUGUAGCCGUCGAUUGUGGUGGAUCUUGUAUGGCUAAACAUUGAUUUUAGGUUCUACAUGGGUCUUACUGUGAUCAAUAACUGUAAUUAAAAUAUUUGUAUAUACAAGGUUUCACCAAAUAAAGAUAAAAAGAAAACUAGAGGAAUGAUGUACUAGACAAUGCAAGUCUAUUGAAAAUUUCAAUUGAAUUCAAUUAAAAUUUUUCUUAAAUAAUUAAGAUAAAAGUUAAACAAGAGGAAAAAAAUCAUGCUAUCAAUGAUUUUAAUUUGUUUAGCAAUGAAAAAAAAGGGGUAAAAUUUCUUCUACUUUAUUCUUCUUAACUUUUGAGUUUGAGCCAUCUUAAAGAUUGAAUUGCUAGAAUUGAAAUUCAAAUGAUUUGAUUACGGAUUGGUGUGGACUGUGUACAACAGAAUACGCUUACACACUGAAAGUGGACGAGAAAAGCGAUGUCUACAGCUUUGGUGUGGUGCUGCUGGAACUAAUAGCAGGGAGAAAACCAGUUGGGGAAUUUGGAGAUGGAGUGGACAUAGUGA